rnacentral:rRNA from 1 species
CUACACAUGCAAGUCGACGGCAGCGCGAAUGGGGUAACCCAUUUGGCGGCGAGUGGCGGACGGGUGAGUAAAAUAUAGGAAUCUACCUUGAGGUGGGGGAUAACUUGGGGAAACUCAAGCUAAUACCACAUGAGACCUACGGGUGAAAGCAGGGGAUCGUAAGACCUUGCGCCUUAAGAUGAGCCUAUAACGGAUUAGCUUGUUGGGGGGGUAAUGGCCCACCAAGGCGACGAUCUGUAGCUGGUCUGAGAGGAUGACCAGCCACACUGGGACUGAGACACGGCCCAGACUCCUACGGGAGGCAGCAGUGGGGAAUAUUGGACAAUGGGCGAAAGCCUGAUCCAGCAAUGCCGCGUGUGUGAAGAAGGCCUUCGGGUUGUAAAGCACUUUCAGUGAGGAGGAAGGGGCAGAUGCUAAUAUCAUCUGUCAUUGACGUUACUCACAGAAGAAGCACCGGCUAGCUCUGUGCCAGCAGCCGCGGUAAUACAGAGGGUGCAAGCGUUAAUCGGAAUUACUGCGCGUAAAGCGUGUGUAGGUGGUUAGAUAAGUUAGAUGUGAAAUCCCCGGGCUUAACCUGGGAACUGCGUUUAAGACUGUUUAACUAGAGUUUUGUAGAGGGUAGUGGAAUUUCCAGUGUAGCGGUGAAAUGCGUAGAUAUUGGAAAGGAACACCAGUGGCGAAAGCGACUACCUGGACAAAAACCGACACUGAGACACGAAAGCGUGGGGAGCAAACAGACUAGAUACCCUGGUAGUCCAUGCUGUAACUAUGAGAACUUGCUGUGGGUGCAUAAUGCAUUUAGUAGCGAGCUACGCGUA